CAAAACUUAAAGAGACGUUUUAACUUAUUUGAAGAUGUGCUGGUAUUAAUUGUAGGGGUGGGGAGGGAAAAGGAGUGGUUUACAUUUUCUUUCUAGCCUUGCCCACACCAUGUUUCCCCCAGACAACCAAGCUCAACCACUUUAAGGCAAAAUGAUGAAAUUAUAACAAACCAUGUGUUAUGGCUCCCUCUGCCCGGGGAAGAAUGAACUGUUGCAAUGGAUGCAUUCUCUAUGCACCAAGCAGGGGGUGAUCAGAAGGAUGAAGAAAUCUGCUUUGCACUAGUUUUAUCUGGAUGUUUGGGGAUGAUCAGCCUCUCAGCUGUGGAAAUGCAAACUGUGGGGCACCAGCAGCAGCUGGUGGGUACUAAUUUAAUACCUCUUCAAAGAGCGAGGGCUCCCCAAUAGGGUUUAUGAAACAAAUGCACUGAUGUGGCUUCUGCAUUAACCAUUGUGGCCUUCUGGGACAUCCCGGGUGAGUGACGAGGGCUCACCAAGGCUGUGCUGUAGGAAGCCCUUUCCAGAUGGUUGGGUUUUUUUUGGGAGGAUGAACUACUUUGUGAUGUUCUGCAAAGCCCUGUUGGGGCUGGGGAAGGGGAAGGAAAGUGUGGCUGAAAAACGAUGCCAAAUUUUAAGUAGGAACUUUCACUUGGUCCCACUUGCAAAUGGCAGAAGUGGCUUUGUGUCAAGUGUUCAUCUGGAAUCUUCUGCUUUGAGCUAAACCUGAAGCGAUGGGGCAGCAGCAGCUGGACACAUGUUUUUGUUCAUGCCUUUCAUUUGUUGUCAUCAUUGUCUCUGGCCUGUGUUCCUGGUGUUUUGCUUUCCCUGUUGCUUGGCAGAUUUGCCUCCGUGUGUGCAAGGCUUGUUUUCCUGCAGGGUGGCAUUGAAAAACCAGCACAAAUUUGGUUUCAUCUGUGAACUCGCAGGAGUCUGUGGUGUCGGUGAGCUGUGGUUGUCAGGUUUUUCUUAGAUGCUUGGGCAGCCAGGAGAUCCUUUAGAGGAGCCAACAGCUUUAAGGCAUUCCUCUGAUGUCAAAUGGAGCUUUUGCAUGCACUGCGAAGGUACCAGCUAGGCCUGGGGCUCCCAGAUCUGUUUAGCUCAUAGCCUGCUCCUUAUGAUGGUGGCAGCAGGCAGUGCUCUGCUGUUUGGGAGCCCCUUGCCAGAGCAGCAUUGAGUAAUUCACUUGAGGCUCUCUACAAAAUGACUUGCUGAGGCAAGAACACAGCUGUAUCAUCUUCACUGGGCAGGUAGUAAGUGUUACCCCUGCUGAAGUAUUAUCUUUUUUGAUAUAUUCUCCUUGCAAUGGGCACCUCAAAUCAGCAAAAGCCCUCUCUGAACAGGGUAAUGCUUGGGCUGGUACAGGAGUACAGUGUCAUCAGAUCUCCCUCUAGAAGCCUUAGGAAAUAAGAUAUAUUAGACCUAUUCCCAUCUGCAGCUUAUUCCCAUGAUUCCCAUCUGAUCCGAGGGUCUCGGAUCAGAGCAUCCUCAGUCUAACCAGCCGAAUCUGCUCCCAGUUGACACCCUGGGGCUCAGUGAGGUGGUCCUAGGGGCAAACCCCCAUCUGGUGCACAGACACCAGCUGCAGGUUGGCCCUCGGAUGCACGAGAGCUGAAUUUGCACCCUUAGCCUGCAGGUUGAUCUACUGCCAGCUUCUGGAAGCAUCAGAUAGUGGCUUUUCAGUGGUAUAUACCCUUUUCGUAUUUACACUUCAUGAUUUUAGAAGCAAUUGCUAAUAGCUAGACAAAAUACUGCUGCUUUGCACCAAGCUGGUUAAAGGCUCUAGUUUUAUGGCCUCAUUUACUUAGACCGCAUAUACAGAAAUUAUGCUAUAAAAGCUUUAAAGCAUCAGCCAGUUUGCUUCAAUGCUCAGUUUUAUUCUUUGUCAGAUAGCAUUUUUGAAAUCUGCCCUUCUGCCAAAGCUGUUACUGAAGCAUUUAUCAAUAGUGCUAGAAUUUCCUGGGUAACUUUCUCUGGACUGCUAGAAACAGCCUAACCCCAACUGAGAAAUACUUGUAGACCUAUUUUGAUCAAGUCAGUCCAAGCCUGGUGAUUUAAAUCUCUUAAUUUCAGAGCCUUGCUUUGAGUGAAUGGCUACGUGCUGCUAAACUAGAGAAUCAGUUUUUUAGGAGCAAGAUUUACAUUGGAGAAAAUUGGGGCCGUGGUGAGUAUUUAAGGUUAAAAUAAAACGUACUAGAACAUGUAUUUAGUGAACGUUGUCUAAAAGUUGUCUUCUGUUUUAAUGUGCAUGUGUGUCCUCUCUGCUGUAUGCACACAUCCUUUGCUCAGCUUUUAGCAAUCUCUCAGCUGAUCCCUGGCCCACGAAGUGGGAAUACCUCUGUGUAGACUGCUACAGCUUGUUGGCUAGAGCAGGGGAUCAAGGCAACACCAAAAGCUGUUCAGGUUUCCAAGGACCCAUGUAUCCUGGCCUCUCUUCACUCUCUUCUCUUCCCCCUCCUCAUUAAUCACUGCUCCAAUGUACUAAUGUCACAUCAGCUUAGCAAAAUGAUUUCACUACAAGUCCAUCUAUAGAGAGUAAAGCAACACUCAGAGGCUGCUUCAUAAAGAUGCCAGUGCCUGUGGCAUGCCCCAGUGGGUCUGCAGAGCUUGUUUCUGGGUGUUUGCUGGAGCCACUGUGGUCGUGUCUCUUGCUGUGGGUUUCUGGGAUGUAUUCUUAAGGAUGCCAAAGGAAUUUACUCAGCCUCUUGGUAAAUGCGUUUCUGUACAUGAGGCUCUAGGUGAGCUG
ensembl:lncRNA